AUGAUGGGAAGGGAGCCUUUGAUGGUCACUGGAGCUCUGUCCACAGGGGCUGAGGAUUCCAGCCAGUGGGUCUUUGAUUUGGUUCACGCGUGACAAGGGUUCCAGGCCUCUCGUGUUCCGUGCUUUGUAGAUCAAGGAUUGUUGGUGUACAUAGGACUUGGCAGCAUUACAAAAAGAAUGCCUUAAAACCAAGCAGGAGAACAAAGGAGGCUUGGGAGAGGAGGUGAUCAAGCACAAGGCUAUUUGCAGAGGAAAGAUUGGGCAAACCCUCACAAACAAAGAUAAGAGAAAUGGAGGACCAUCUCUGAUACAAUUUAGUCAUCCAUCUAUAAAUUACAGGAAUGUCUGUGUGUGUGUGUGUGUGUGCGUGUGUGUUAUUCACAUUCGCAUAUCUGUAGAACUGUUCAUUUGACUAAUUUGGCAGGUGUUUUCUUACGGGCAUUAGUAAGUGCAGUGUAAAGUUUGAUGUUGUUUGAAUAAGAAAUGCAAAAGAUGUUGUUAAAUAUCAGUAAAAGAAGCACACAUUGGCUUUUGCCGCUCUAGCUGCUGGCCACUCCCCCCCUCACACAGCACAGCAAAGGACCAGGGGCA